CUACUGGUUGAUCCUGCAGUAGUCAUAUGCUUGUUCAAAGAUUAAGCAUGAUGUGUAAGUAUGAACUAAUUCAGACUGUGAAACUGCGAAUGGUAUUAAAUCAGUUAUAGUUUGUUUGAUGGUACCUACUACUCGGAUAACGUAGUAAUUCUAGAGCUAAUACGUGCAACAACCCGACUUCUGGAAGGGAUGCAUUUAUUAGAUAAAAGGUCGACGGGGCUCUGCCGUUGCUGCGAUGAUUCAUGAUAAUCGACGGAUCGCACGGCUUAGCGCCGGGACGCAUCAUUCAAAUUUCUGCCUAUAACUUUCGAUGGUAGGAUAGUGGCUACAUGGUGGUGAGGGUGACGGAGAAUUAGGGUUCGAUUCCGGAGAGGGAGCCUGAGAAACGGUACACAUCCAAGGAAGGCAGCGGCGCAAUUACAAUCUGAACAGGGGAGGUAGUGAAUAAAUAAAAUCGGGCUCGAUGAGUCUGGUAAUUGGAAUGAGUAAAUCUAAAUCCUUAACGAGGAUCAUUGGAGGCAAGUCUGGUGCAGCAGCGCGGUAAUUCCAGUCCAAUAGCGUAUAUUUAGUUGUUGCAGUUAAAAAGCUCGUAGUUGGACUUUGGGAUGGGCGGCCGGUCGCCCACGGGUGUGCACCGUCGUCUCGUCCUUCUGCGGCGAUGCGCUCCUGGCUUAAUUGGCGGGUCGUGCUCCGGCGUGUUACUUUGAAGAAAUUAGAGUGCUCAAAGCAAGCUACGCUCUGUAUACAUUAGCAUGGGAUAACAUUAUAGGAUUUCGGUCUAUUACGUUGGCCUUCGGGAUCGGAGUAAUGAUUAACAGGGACAGUCGGGGGAUUCGUAUUUCAUAGUCAGAGGUGAAAUUCUUGGAUUUAUGAAAGACGAACAACUGCGAAAGCAUUUGCAGGAUGUUUUCAUUAAUCAAGAACGAAGUUGGGGGCUCGAAGACGAUCAGAUACCGUCUAGUCUCAACAUAAACGAUGCCGACAGGGAUCGGCGAUGUUGUUUUAGGAUCCGCGGCACUUAUGAGAAUCAAAGUCUUUGGGUUCCGGGGGGAGUAUGGUGCAAGGCUGAAACUUAAAGGAAUUGACGGAAGGGCACACAGGAGUGGAGCCUGCGGCUUAAUUUGAUCAACACGGGGAAACUUACAGGUCAGACAUAGUAAGGAUUGACAGACUGGAGCUUUUCGAGAUUCUAUGGGUGGUGGUGCAUGGCGUUCUUAGUUGGUGGAGCGAUUUGUCUGGUUAAUUCGUUAACGAACGAGCUAGCUGCUAACUAGCUAUGCGGAGGUAUCCCUCGCGGCAGUUUCUUAGAGGAUACGGCUUUCAGCCGCGGAGUUUGAGGCAAUACAGGUCUGUGAUGCCUUAGAUGUUCUGGGCGACGCGCGCUACACUGAUGUAUUCAACGAGCAUAUAGCUUGGCGACAGGCCGGGUAAUCUUUGAAUUUCAUCGUGAUGGGGAUAGAUCAUUGCAUUGUUGGUUUCAACGAGGAAUUCCUAGUAAGCGCGAGUCAUCAGCUCGCGUUGACUACGUCCUGCCUUUGUACACACCGCCCGUCGCUCCUACGAUUGAAUGAUCCGGUGAAGUGUUCGGAUGCGGCGACGUGGGCGGUUCGUGCCGCGACGUCGCGAGAAGUCCACUGACUUAUAUUUAGAGGAAGGAGAAGUCGUAACAAGGUUUCCGUAGGUGAACCUGCGGAAGGAUCAUUG
rfam:Ipomoea nil DNA, scaffold: scaffold1793, cultivar: Tokyo-kokei standard.